ensembl:snRNA U6 U6 spliceosomal RNA
GUGCUCACUUUGGCAGCACAUACACUAAAAUUGGCCCAAUACAGAGAAGAUUAGCAUGGCCGGUGCACAAGGAUGAUACCCUAAUCCAUGUUUUCUUCUCUGUGUGU